GCAUGACCCUGCCUGGUGGUGGGCUGAGGCUUCAAACCUUAGGGCGUCUAGCGACGCAGUUGUUCGAUUCAACCUUG
rnacentral:tRNA from 1 species